GCUGGUUUGGCUCAGUGGAUAGAGCAUCAGCCUGCAGACUGAAGGGUACCAGGUUCGAUUCCGGUCAAGGGCA
rnacentral:tRNA from 1 species